rnacentral:lncRNA from 1 species
UUACUAUAAAGGGCUCUGUAAUAAUGUUACCAUAAAGUCUCUGUAAUGUUGUUACUAUAAAGGCUCUGUAAUGUUGUUACUAUAAAGGACUCUGUAAUGUUGUUACUAUAAAGGACUCUGUAAUAAUGUUACUAUAAAGGCGCUGUAAUGUUGAGACUAUAAAGUCUCUGUAACAUUGUUACAUAAAGACUCUGUAAUGCUGUUACUAUAAAGUCUCUGUAAUGUUGUUACUAUAAAGGACUCUGUAAUAAUGUACCUAUAAAGUCUGUAAAGUUGUUACAUAAAUUCUCUGUAAUAAUGUUACUAUAAAGGACUCUGUAAUGUUGUUACUAUAAAGGCUCUGUGAUGUUGUUACUAUAAAGGCUCUGUAAUGUUGUUACUAUAAAGUCUCCAUAAUGUUGUUACUAUAAAAGGGCUCUGUAAUGUUGUAACUAUAAAGGCUCUGUAAUGUUGUUACUAUGAAAGCUCUGGAAUGUUGUGAGUAUAAAGGUCUCUGUAAUGUUGUUACUUACUAUAAAGGGCUCUGUAAUGUUGUUACUAUAAAGGCUC